GGGGUUCUAGCUCAUCGGUAGAGCGCUCGCUUAGCAUGAUGCAAUGCCACUUGCGAGAGGUACAGGAUUCGACUCCCUGGUACUCCA